rnacentral:rRNA from 1 species
UGGGGAAUUUUGGACAAUGGGCGCAAGCCUGAUCCAGCCAUGCCGCGUGCGGGAAGAGGGCCUUCGGGUUGUAAACCGCUUUUGUCAGGGAAGAAAUCUUCUGAGUUAAUACCUCGGGAGGAUGACGGUACCUGAAGAAUAAGCACCGGCUAACUACGUGCCAGCAGCCGCGGUAAUACGUAGGGUGCAAGCGUUAAUCGGAAUUACUGGGCGUAAAGCGUGCGCAGGCGGUUUUGUAAGACAGAGGUGAAAUCCCCGGGCUCAACCUGGGAACUGCCUUUGUGACUGCAAGGCUUGAGUGCGGCAGAGGGGGAUGGAAUUCCGCGUGUAGCAGUGAAAUGCGUAGAUAUGCGGAGGAACACCGAUGGCGAAGGCAAUCCCCUGGGCCUGCACUGACGCUCAUGCACGAAAGCGUGGGGAGCAAAACAGGAUUAGAUACCCUGGUAGUCCACGCCCUAAACGAUGUCAACUGGUUGUUGGGAAGGUUCCUUCUCAGUAACGUAGCUAACGCGUGAAGUUGACCGCCUGGGGAGUACGGCCGCAAGGUUGAAACUCAAAGGAAUUGA